GAAUUUUGGUGGAUUUGAUCUCUAAAGAGAAAUAUAAUAGAUAAAGAUUCAGUUACUUGCAAUCAUGUGCUAAAUUCACUUGCUAUACUUGGAAUUUAAACAAAGAAUUUCAUUAUUUAAAUUGAAUCUUUAAAUAGGCUAUUGUGUACAAAACAAGUAUCAAAUAUCAGGAUGAGACUGGUUCUUGCCUGUAGGACUGUACAGGGGUGGACCUUUGUUAAUAAUUUGUGCCGUUUUGCUAUAUUCCCAACUGCCAUUACAUUAGUUUAGUCUUCAUUGUUUUUGAUUUGACAUAUAGUUCUGGUUAUCUAUUGCUAUAUAAUAAACCCUUCAAAUUAGUGUCUUAAAACAGUAUCUCUUUUGCUCACAUAUCUGGAGUUAUGGGUCUCAGUCAUGCAAUUCUCUUGGGUUCUUUAGUUAGAUAAAAACGGGAUAGGGUUUCUUUGAAGGCUUUUUCACUAGCACUUCUGGUAACUGGCCUAGGAAGAUUAAACAGAAGGAGCUGCUUGAUCACCUCUCUCUAUAUAUGUUCUUACCAUAGGGCCUUUCACAUAGUGGCCCUACACUAGCCAUUUUUCUUUCAUGGCAGCUACCACCUUUGUGAAUAAAUUUCCCAAGAAAUAGCACAUGGCCCUGUGUAACCUGAUCUUUUUAGCUACUACUAUGGUUUGGAUAUUGAAUAUCCCCCCAAAUCCCUGUGUUAAAGACUUAGAUACCAGCCUGUGGCACUGGUAACUAAGGUAGUGAAACUUUUAGAGGUGAGGCUUAGUGGAAGGUCUUCAGUUACUGGAGACAAGCCCUGGAAGCAAACUGCAAGACUUUAGUCUCUUGCACUCUCUCUUUGCUUUCUAGCCACUAUGAUAUGAGCAUCCUGAUGUUGUCGCUCACCAUCUGGCCAUGGACUAAAACCUCUAAAACCAUAAGUCAAAAUAAACCUUUCCUCUUUACAGUUUUUUAUCUCAGAUAUUUUGUUAUAGUAAUGGGAAGAUGACUAAUGUAAUUCCUUAGUGACACUUUUGCCUUAUUUUAUUCCAAGAGGUAAUGACAUAGUUUGGCCCAUAUUCAAAGGAAGGGACUAUAGACUCUACCUCUAGAUAGGGAAAUGUUAAAGAAUCCGUGUACAUGCUUUAAAACCAGCAUUUUAACAAGAAUUUGUUUCUAAUUCGUUGAUUAGAAAUGAUGUCCUCAUCACUUCUAGACAAGAAAGAGAUUAUUAAUGCCAAUAAAUGAAAUAAAGCCAUAUUUC
rnacentral:lncRNA from 1 species